UGAGGAAUAUAUCGGAAGAUUUAUUUUGAUGUUUUUUUUAAUUAAAAAAUGGUUUUUCGUUUACUUUUAAAAUUUUUAAAAUGGGGAAAGUUUUGUAGCCAAGUGGCUUAAUAAACCCGAUCGUCCGCGCCGGAUGCUGCAAGCCUCCGCUGCUGCCGUACGCGACCGUCAUUGUACGCCCUCUCGGAUCGGCGGCCGCCACCGCUUUAGCCUUCACCGGUGAUGUCAGAUCGUCACGGGAAUCGAGGCCCCCCGCUGUUCGUGUUUGUUCGAGCAACCUUGCCACCGCUCGAUCUAGCGGUCCGGCCGUCCGGAUCGCCCGACAUUGAUGUUGGCACCCAAGAAUUGAGAUCCUCCUUCCCCUUUUCCGCGGGGAUUGUAGUGCUUAGUUUCGUCCCCCUCCUCUUCCUUUGAGCAGCAGCACUCUUCUUUUUACCGGAUAUAGGUGGAGCAGCGACCUAUUCGAGAACUAAAAAACAGUUGGCUUUUCCCCUCUUUGCGAGUGCGAGCAGUGUGAGUUCCGAUUCUUGCUGAAACAGGGAAUUCCUCCUCGUAUGAUUGCUGUAACAGUGUUCUUCGCUGAUUUACAUCUUGUACUGUACUCAGGUGAUUGAGCAUUUAGUGUAGCGGCAGGAAGCACCUUCUUCUAACCGCAGAAGUUCAUUUCUAGUUAUUUUGCUAAAUGACAGAAUUUCUAGUUAUUUUGCUAAAUGACAGCAUAGAGGUAGGCUACUUUCUCCUCUCUCAUUGAAUCCGGAGGACACGCAAGAAAGAGAAUACCACUGAUGAACAUAUCUUAUCUUGUGGGAGAUUGCUAAGAACUUCACUGGGAGGCUGUAUCAGGAAGCAACAUAGGUCAAUUGAUAUUUGUUUCGUGGUUUCUCUAAUUGUCUUCCUUUUUUAGCACAUGCAACUAAUUAAUGUUCAGUGAAUUUCUGAUAAUGUUAUACAUCCUUUCAAUGUAUAGAGAACAUAAAAGAACAUAAAAAAAAGUUUUUAAGAAAUCAGCCAACAUACGUGAAUAUUCUGUUGCUUUUCUUUUUGCUGGACUCCAUCAAAACCACUUAGAGGACCCAUUUCAAUUGCAUACUUCCUUCGUAGUUCUCUGCUUCUACUGGUCACACAACCUUUAUUUUUAAAAACCUGAUACAUGUAGAAAGUAAAAUACAAUGAAUGAAAACAAUCAUUCUCUGUAUGGAAGCUCUUUCCAUGUACUCCAAUGAGAUGGAUGAACAGUUUGGUGCUUCAAAUUUUCUGUCAGCUAGAAUUUACUUUUAGAUACAUGUUUUGCCCUGUCUCACUAAUAGUUCAGAUUGAUUUUCUUACAUGAAUCUCUAGUAAUGCUACAUUUCUUUAGUUGUAAUCAUGGACGAUAACACAGAUGGGGGAGCAAUACAGAGACAAAGCAAUACAAGUAAAGACGUUUGAGAAAUCAGCCAAUCUACCUGAAUGAUCUGCUGCUUCUUUAUUUGUAAUCGUUCCCUUUCAUCUUCUUAGUUUUCCUACUUAUUUGCUUCAUCUUUUCACAGGUUGUGUAUUGUUUGCUGAAAAUGAUUAUAGAAAGUGAGGUACCCGCAUGGAAAGUACGAUAUAUAAACUUGUGGUAUGGACCUCUUUCCACGUAAUUCAUUGAGUUGGUGAAUGGUUUCCUGUGUUUAAUUCAAAAGAGAUUAUAUAGGCUAAUUGAUUCAUUUUCAA